rnacentral:rRNA from 1 species
AUUGAACGCUGGCGGCAUGCCUUACACAUGCAAGUCGAACGGCAGCACGGGAGCAAUCCUGGUGGCGAGUGGCGAACGGGUGAGUAAUAUAUCGGAACGUGCCCAGUCGUGGGGGAUAACGCAGCGAAAGCUGUGCUAAUACCGCAUACGAUCUAAGGAUGAAAGCGGGGGAUCGCAAGACCUCGCGCGAUUGGAGCGGCCGAUAUCAGAUUAGCUAGUUGGUGGGGUAAAGGCCCACCAAGGCGACGAUCUGUAGCUGGUCUGAGAGGACGACCAGCCACACUGGAACUGAGACACGGUCCAGACUCCUACGGGAGGCAGCAGUGGGGAAUUUUGGACAAUGGGCGCAAGCCUGAUCCAGCAAUGCCGCGUGCAGGAUGAAGGCCUUCGGGGUGUAAACUGCUUUUGUACGGAACGAAACGGCCCUUUCUAAUACAGGGGGCUAAUGACGGUACCGUAAGAAUAAGCACCGGCUAACUACGUGCCAGCAGCCGCGGUAAAAC